UACGUAGGGGGCAAGCGUUGUCCGGAUUUAUUGGGCGUAAAGAGCGUGUAGGCGGCCAGGUAGGUCUGCUGUGAAAACUCGAGGCUUAACCUCGAGCUGUCGGCGGAAACCAUCUGGCUAGAGUCCGGAAGAGGAGAAUGGAAUUCCCGGUGUAGCGGUGAAAUGCGCAGAUAUCGGGAAGAACACCCGUGGCGAAGGCGACUCUUUGGCCUGUAACUGACGCUGAGGCGCGAAAGGGUGGGGAGCAAACAGG
rnacentral:rRNA from 1 species